UACGUAGUUAGCCGGAGCUUUCUUGCAGGGUACCGUCAUUUUCGUCCCCUGCGACAGAACUUUACAACCCGAAGGCCGUCUUCAUUCACGCGGCAUCGCUGCAUCAGGGUUUCCCCCAUUGUGCAAUAUCCCCCACUGCUGCCUCCCGUAGGAGUCUGGGCCGUGUCUCAGUCCCAAUGUGGCCGUUCAACCUCUCAGUCCGGCUACCGAUUGUCGGUUUGGUGGGCCGUUACCCCGCCAACUGCCUAAUCGGACGCGAGCCCAUCUUUCAGCGGAUUGCUCCUUUGAUAUCAGUGCCAUGCGACUCCGAUAUUUUAUGCGGUAUUAGCGUUCGUUUCCAAACGUUAUCCCCCUCUGAAAGGCAGGUUGCUCACGUGUUACUCACCCGUCCGCCACUAAGUUCAGAUGCAAGCAUCUUCACUCCGUUCGACUUGCAUGUGUUAGGCGUGCCGCCAGCGUUCGUCCUGAGCCAGGAUCAAACUCU
rnacentral:rRNA from 1 species